UCAAAAAAGAACAAGAAAAGCUCAGGGCAGUGAAUCACAUUUUGCUCAGGAAAACCAACUCAAGAGUGGAAGGAUGGAGAAGUGGCCACUAGCUUCACUAGCAAUCUUUUGGCUGCAGCUGAGCUGGGUGAGCAGUGAAGACAAGGUGAUACAGAGCCCCCCAUCUCUGGUUGUCCAGGAGGAAGACAGUGCAACUCUCAACUGCAGUUACCAAGUGACCAACUUUCAAAGCCUACUUUGGUUUCAGCAGCAAGAGAACGCUCCUACCUUUCUGUUUAGACAAAUUUCAAAUGGGAUUCAGAAGUCAGGAAGGUUAAAAGGGACAUUAGAUAAGAAAGCACUUCUCAGCACCCUGCACAUCACAGCCACCCAGCUCGGAGACUCAGCUACCUACUUGUGUGCAGUGGAGGCACAGUGUGGUCUAGUCAGCUGCAGCCCGUCCCCAAAUAGUACAGCUGAGGCUCCUGCGACUGUUAGAUGGGGACCUUGCUAAAUCAGGCACAACCCCAAAAGUAAACUGUAAGGAAAAGCAACCAUCAGUUAAGACCCUCAUGCCCAUGUUGACAAUUACUUGUGGCUUACUGAGUCCGAUCCCUGCAUUCACUACCUUGUCUGUGCUUUUUAUGGACAUCUGCAUAACAAAUAUUUUUACAGGGUCACUCAUACAAUACCAACUCUAUAACAACACCAUCAUGCCCUGGGGGAGAAAGAAAGCCCUUUUGCCAGGAUU